UAAUCCGAAGACGUGAUGCGGACCGAAUUAAGAGUAGGGAAGUGUGUGAACCAUGCGUCAAGAAAAGCCGCUAUUGUUUACUUAAGCCCGUACCGUAAACCGACACAGGUGGAUGUGGAGAGAAUCCUAAGGCCGACGGGAGAAGCAUUGUUAAGGAACUCGGCAAAAUGACUUCGUAACUUCGGGAGAAGGAGUGCCAGCGAGAGCUGGCCGCAGAGAAUUGGCCCAAGCAACUGUUUAGCAAAAACACAGGUUUAUGCAAAACCGUAAGGUGAAGUAUAUGGGCUGACGCCUGCCCGGUGCUGGAAGGUUAAGAGGAGAGGUUAGCGGCAACGCGAAGCUUUGAAUUUAAGCCCCAGUAAACGGCGGCCGUAACGAUAACGGUCCUAAGGUAGCGAAAUUCCUUGUCGGGUAAGUUCCGACCCGCACGAAAGGCGUAAUGAUUUGGGCACUGUCUCAACAAUGCACCCGGUGAAAUUGAAAUACCAGUGAAGAUGCUGGUUACCUGCGCCAGGACGGAAAGACCCCAUGGAGCUUUACUCCAGCUUGAUACUGGGAUUCGGUAUUGCAUGUACAGGAUAGGUGGGAGGCUACGAAGUGAUAACGCCAGUUGUCACGGAGCCGCUGUUGGGAUACCACCCUUGCAGUAUUGGAUUUCUAACCAGCGACCAUGAACUGGUCGGGGGACAAUGUCAGGUGGGGAGUUUGACUGGGGCGGUCGCCUCCGAAAGGGUAUCGGAGGCGCUCAAAGGUUCCCUCAGAAUGGACGGAAACCAUUCGAAGAGUGCAAAGGCAGAAGGGAGCUUGACUGCGACACCGACGGGUGGAGCAGGUACGAAAGUAGGACUUAGUGAUCCGGUGGUAUAAAGUGGGAUUGCCAUCGCUCAACGGAUAAAAGCUACCCUGGGAUAACAGGCUUAUCACUCCCAAGAGUUCACAUCGACGGAGUGGUUUGGCACCUCGAUGUCGGCUCAUCGCAUCCUGGGGCUGAAGUAGGUCCCAAGGGUUGGGCUGUUCGCCCAUUAAAGCGGUACGCGAGCUGGGUUCAGAACGUCGUGAGAUAGUUCGGUCCCUAUCCGGCGUGGGCGUAGGAUAUUUGAGAGGAGCUGUCCUUAGUACGAGAGGACCGGGAUGGACUGGCCGCUGGUGUAUCUGUUGCAUACCAAAUGCAUGGCAGAGUAGCCAAGCCGGGACGGGAUAAACGCUGAAGGCAUCUAAGCGUGAAGCCCCCCUCAAGAUGAGAUAUCCCUACGUAAGUAGUAAGACCCCUUGAAGACGACGAGGUAGAUAGGUCAGAGGUGGAAGUACAGUAAUGUAUGGAGCUGACUGAUACUAAUCGGUCGAGGGCAUGACCGA
rnacentral:rRNA from 1 species